rnacentral:rRNA from 1 species
UGGGGAAUUUUGGACAAUGGGCGAAAGCCUGAUCCAGCAAUGCCGCGUGUGUGAAGAAGGCCUUCGGGUUGUAAAGCACUUUUGUCCGGAAAGAAAUCCUUGGCUCUAAUACAGUCGGGGGAUGACGGUACCGGAAGAAUAAGCACCGGCUAACUACGUGCCAGCAGCCGCGGUAAUACGUAGGGUGCAAGCGUUAAUCGGAAUUACUGGGCGUAAAGCGUGCGCAGGCGGUUUGCUAAGACCGAUGUGAAAUCCCCGGGCUCAACCUGGGAACUGCAUUGGUGACUGGCAGGCUAGAGUAUGGCAGGAGGGGGGUAGAAUUCCACGUGUAGCAGUGAAAUGCGUAGAGAUGUGGAGGAAUACCGAUGGCGAAGGCAGCCCCCUGGGCCAAUACUGACGCUCAUGCACGAAAGCGUGGGGGAGCAAACAGGAUUAGAUACCCUGGUAGUCCACGCCCUAAAACGAUGUCAACUAGUUGUUGGGGAUUCAUUUCCUUAGUAACGUAGCUAACGCGUGAAGUUGACCGCCUGGGGAGUACGGUCGCAAGAUUAAAACUUAAAUGAAUUGACGGGGUCAUAGCUG